rfam:Sorghum bicolor cultivar BTx623 chromosome 3, whole genome shotgun sequence.
GUAGUCGGAUUCACAUCAAUCCAUAUGUGUUGGAGUGGAUUGGAGUGGAACUUGAACUAAAUUCCACCUCAAUCCAUUUUAAUACAUAUGAAUUGAGGUGAAUCCGACA